UGGGGAAUAUUGCACAAUGGGCGCAAGCCUGAUGCAGCGACGCCGCGUGAGGGAUGACGGCCUUCGGGUUGUAAACCUCUUUCAGCAUCGUACGAAGCGCAAGUGACGGUAGAUGCAGAAGAAGGACCGGCCAACUACGUGCCAGCAGCCGCGGUAAUACGUAGGGUCCGAGCGUUGUCCGGAAUUACUGGGCGUAAAGAGCUCGUAGGUGGUUUGUCGCGUUGUCCGUGAAAACUCACAGCUCAACUGUGGGCGUGCGGGCGAUACGGGCAGACUGGAGGUACUGCA
rnacentral:rRNA from 1 species